GAGCCACUAGUUAUCCAAAUCAUAACAGCCGUAAGCUAUAGAGCUGCCACAUCGAUCAAAAAUAAGAAUUAUAAGAACGCGUUAGUGCCUUAUAUUUUGCUCAAUAGCGCUCCCGGCGGUCAAGUUUGUCUAAGUUUCGUUUCGCCGUCAGGUGUAUUUGUGCAUGUUUGAAAAAACCCUACAAAUGAAAUUUAAUAGAUGGAUACCGUAAAUUUAACGCAAUUUCGUAGUUAAAAUAACAUGACUUUGGUUAUUUUGUUUGUAUAUGAUGCUGAUGAUGACACUUAUUUCGCGAGAUGGGCAAUUGGUGAGUAUCGUAAAUUUCCCAUGAAAUUUCCCCCCUUUUCAUUUGACUUGAUUUUUGAUCGUAGAGAACUUUGUGAUAUCCGCAUACACGAUACACUUCAUAUUUGAACAGGUCUCAGUUUGUAGGCAAUUUCAAAAUUGCAACUUCCAUUUGCAAUGUGUAAUUCAUGUACUUCAUGUAAAUGCUGCUCUGAUAAAGAAUCGACCACGUUUUUUGCCAUAUGGAACAUCUGCUGUGGGGUAUUAAUUCUUGCGUCGAAUAUAAACGGUCUUUUAGACAGUCCUCAAAGUACGUAAGUAUUUAUAUGGGGCAAUUUUAACCUUUGACAUUUCUUCAGAAUGGAGAGCAGAAUUGAGCACAGUGAGGAAGGUGGAAUGGUCCGAAAGGGAUGUCACAGCAGUUCGAAUUCUUUCUUAUCUGUCCUGCGUGUUUGCGGUAUCAUAUACGGUCUCUGGAAUAUUGAUUCUAAUUGGGGAUGCGACUGUAACUUAUUUUUUUCUGUCACAUUUAACAAUUUAUCCUUUUCCAAUACAUUUUACUCUACAGGAUAGGAAAUUGAUAUUCACUUUGGGCAAAUACUUGAGCUAUUUAAUGCCGUGCUAGAGUAUUCUGAGCAUAUUUUUACCAAGUUUGUAUUGAAUCGAUCAUUGGAUAUUGAUUCCUUGUGUCUGAUGGUUUUCCUAUUUCAGUUGUGCAUUUCAUUACCGUGUGCAGAGUGUGCCGAUAUUACCGAUCCCGCUGGCCAUGAUUGCCUCCCAAUUGCCACUUGUUCCACUUUAGACAUCAUUUUUGGACUUGGUUUAUUGUAUCCCAUAAAUAACUUUCCUAUGCGUUCCAUGAAACACGUUAAACGGUUUCUUUACUUUUCGGUUUUUUUUUUGGAUUUGGAUUCGGAAUAUCCUUGAAGCGUGG
rnacentral:lncRNA from 1 species